rnacentral:rRNA from 1 species
GACGAACGCUGGCGGCGUGCUUAACACAUGCAAGUCGAACGGAAAGGCCCCUUUGGGGGUACUCGAGUGGCGAACGGGUGAGUAACACGUGAGUAACCUGCCCUUGACUUCGGGAUAACUUCAGGAAACUGGGGCUAAUACCGGAUAGGAAUCCUUGCUGCAUGGUGGGGGUUGGAAAGCUUCGGCGGUUUUGGAUGGACUCGCGGCUUAUCAGCUUGUUGGUGGGGUAGUGGCUUACCAAGGCUUUGACGGGUAGCCGGCCUGAGAGGGCGACCGGCCACAUUGGGACUGAGAUAAGGCCCAGACUCCUACGGGAGGCAGCAGUGGGGAAUAUUGCACCAUGGGCGGAAGCCUGAUGCAGCAACGCCGCGUGCGGGAUGACGGCCUUCGGGUUGUAAACCGCUUUCAGCAGGGGCGAAGCUUGUGGUGACGGUACCUGCAGAAGAAGCACCGGCUAACUACGUG